GAGUUUGAUCCUGGCUCAGAUUGAACGCUGGCGGCAUGCCUUACACAUGCAAGUCGAACGGCAGCACGGGAGCUUGCUCCUGGUGGCGAGUGGCGAACGGGUGAGUAAUGCAUCGGAACGUAUCCUGGAGUGGGGGAUAACGUAGCGAAAGUUACGCUAAUACCGCAUAUUCUGUGAGCAGGAAAGCGGGGGACCUUCGGGCCUCGCGCUCUUGGAGCGGCCGAUGUCGGAUUAGCUAGUUGGUGAGGUAAAGGCUCACCAAGGCGACGAUCCGUAGCAGGUCUGAGAGGAUGAUCUGCCACACUGGAACUGAGACACGGUCCAGACUCCUACGGGAGGCAGCAGUGGGGAAUUUUGGACAAUGGGGGCAACCCUGAUCCAGCCAUGCCGCGUGAGUGAAGAAGGCCUCGGUUGUAA
rnacentral:rRNA from 14 species